ensembl:lncRNA
AUAUCAAAGCAGUCUCAUGAAACAUUUACAUUUCACUAAUUACAUAUACAUGUAUUCUACUUGUUAAGGCUAGCAAAAAUUCCUUUUUUGAUAUGUGAGAGUCAGCCAGAACAAGUACGAGACAGUAUUUAUUCUGCAUUUUAAGCCAUGAUAAGUCUGUAUUUUGUCAUCACAGCUGACGAAGACCUCCAUUAUAGUAUCAGUGUCAAACGUUGAAUAGUAAGUUAUGGUGGUAUGUCUAAUAUCCAUCAUAAUUACAACACUGCACAAGCCUUUAUUUCCUUUGGGCCAUAUUCAGAGUUGGAGACUUAAGUUAAAAGAUAGGUUGAUAUUUACAUGAGGAAAGUUUUUUGUAUUCAGGGCAGAGGUCUCUAUAUAUAAACCUAUAUAUUUACUUAGAAUAGGCCAUACUUAUACUCUUACUAAAGUUAAUUUUCAAUCACAGAAAUGUUCUUUUACUUCACUACAUUCGGUGGUGUUCCUCGGUUACUGUUGAAUGUUAAUGAAUAUAUGUAGUUUUAAUAAUUAGUUUAUAUCACGCAUAAUGAGAUAGCGAGUCUCAUGAUACGCUGCAAUGGUUUAAAUGUGGACGCAACAACUGCUCACUUUUUUAUUGGCUCUCAGUCCUGGAGAGGGGGAAAAGUGAGUGUGUCAACAGAGGCAGGACACACACAUACACACACAUACACACACAUACACACACAUACACACACAUACACACACAUACACACACAUACACACACAUACACACACAUACACACACAUACACACACAUACACACACAUACACACACAUACACACACAUACACACACAUACACACACACUCUCUCUCUCUCUCUCUCUCUACACACACUUCUCUUCUGUUCUGUUCCAUAGUCUGUUCUUUUAUUCUCUGUUGUCUUGUUUAAAUGCAGAUGCUGACAACUUUGUGUUGUUAACAUGUUGUGAAAAUAAAGACAGUCAGCUGAUGGGAAUAUGUUUGUUUUUUGGGGCAUGUGUGAGGUUUUGUGUUGAAAAUGCCUGGUUGUGUGUUACUGUACCCAUCACAGGACUGGGAUAUGCUGCUUCAUCUUGAACCCAGGUUUUAUAUCAUAUAAACAGAAUAGACAGUUUUUAAGGAGAGGUGUGACUUACAGUUCUCCAUGUAGUCUGAGAUUCAGGAUUUUCCCUUCAUUUUAAUCAGAUCCGAAGCAACUAACUUGCUACUCGAGUAGUCUUCUCAUUGGAUACUUUAUUACGCUCACUCAAGUAAUUAUUAACAUUAUUACUUUUACUGUUACUGGAGUAAUUACUUUUACAAGGAGUUUUACUUGUGCAUGAGUAAAGUUUUGGGCUAUUCUAUACACCUCUGAUUCAGAGUCAGUUUGUGCAGAUGCUGCAGCUGAUUUUCUGAAUUUAGAUUAUUAAAAUGACCUGUGUGGAGUUAAUGCCUGUGAUGUUGCCAGAUUUGUAUUUCUUUUUUAAUUAAUAGAAGUGCUGGGGUUUUUAAUAGUACCAGGACCACUGCUGUUAAUCAAAAGUACUUGCCUUUAAGCCUGACAAAUUCAGCAGAUAUAAAACAGAAAUAGAUAGAAAUCAAACGAUAUUUUGAUCAUGUUUUUCCCGUUUGCUUUUAGCUGCAAUACGAUGUAACAUAAAACCAAGAGACAAUAAAUAAAUACAAAAAAUAAGCAAAUAAAAAUAAAGUCUAAUGUGA